rnacentral:rRNA from 1 species
CCAGCAGCCGCGGUAAUACGGAGGUUGCAAGCGUUAUCCGGAUUUAUUGGGUUUAAAGGGUGCGUAGGCGGAAUGGUAAGUCAGUGGUGAAAUCCUGUAGCUUAACUACAGAACUGCCAUUGAUACUGUCAUUCUUGAGUGUAGUUGAGGUAGGCGGAAUGUGUAAUGUAGCGGUGAAAUGCUUAGAUAUUACACAGAACUCCAAUUGCGUAGGCAGCUUACUAAACUAUAACUGACGCUGAGGCACGAAAGCGUGGGGAGCAAACAGGAUUAGAUACCCUGGUAGUCCACGCUGUAAACGAUGAUUACUCGAUGUGUGCAAUAUAUCGUACGCGUCUAAGCAAAAGCAUUAAGUAAUCCACCUGGGGAGUACGGCGGCAACGCUGAAACUCAAAGGAAUUGACGGGGGCCCGCACAAGG